rnacentral:rRNA from 1 species
UAUAACUAGGCCGAGGAAAAGAAACUAACCAGGAUUCCCCCAGUAACGGCGAGUGAAGCGGGAGAAGCCCAUGCUGCCAACCGCUCCGGCGGGUUGUGCCAGGCGUGCCUGGUGAGGUCCCGGGGAGAAGUCCUUUGGAACAAGGUAUCAGAGAGGGUGACAAUCCCGUCUGUGCCUCGGGGUCCUCGCGUGAAGGCCGUGCUAAUGGAGUCGAGUUGCUUGGGAUUGCAGCUCAAAGUCGGUGGUAAAUUCCAUCGAAGGCUAAAUACGGGUGGGAGACCGAUAGCGAACAAGUACUGUGAAGGAAAGAUGAAAAGAACUUUGAAAAGAGAGUUAAAGAGUGCCUGAAAUUGCUGAGAGGGAACCGAAGGUGAUCAGUGGGGGCCGCUGCCAUUUUUCGUGUUCCGACSUCGGAGCACGCCCUGUGGCAGGGGCCCGCUCCGCGCCGUCGCGUCCGGCCGUAAGCUUGGGGCCGGGGGUGGUGGGGCGGAGGAAAU